AAGGGGGUCUCUGGUAAGGCCGGGCUCAUAACCCGGAGGUCGGUGGUUCAAAUCCACCCCCCGCUA
rnacentral:tRNA from 1 species